rnacentral:rRNA from 1 species
CCUACGGGUGGCAGCAGUGGGGAAUAUUGGACAAUGGGGGGAACCCUGAUCCAGCCAUGCCGCGUGGGUGAAGAAGGCCCUCGGGUUGUAAAGCACUUUCAGUGAGGAAGAACGCCUGUGGGUUAAUACCAACAGGGAAGGACAUCAUCCACAGAAGAGCCACGGGCUAACUCCGUGCCAGCAGCCGCGGUAAUACGGAGGGUGCGAGCGUUAAUCGGAAUUACUGGGCGUAAAGCGCGCGUAGGUGGCUUGAUAAGCCGGUUGUGAAAGCCCCGGGCUCAACCUGGGAACGGCAUCCGGAACUGUCAAGCUAGAGUGCAGGAGAGGAAGGUAGAAUUCCCGGUGUAGCGGUGAAAUGCGUAGAGAUCGGGAGGAAUACCAGUGGCGAAGGCGGCCUUCUGGACUGACACUGACACUGAGGUGCGAAAGCGUGGGUAGCAAACAGGAUUAGAUACCCGAGUAGUC